CUGGAUAUAUAAUCUAAUAGCUUCCUGAAUUAGUUUUUUUUUUUACAACCAUGAGUUGCACAGCAUCGAGUCCCAACUCAAGAAUUAACUCGAUUCAAGCAUUCCAUGAGAUUGCUAAACUUUCAUGUGAGACCGUCCUUUCACCGCAGAUUUAUGAAUCAUUGCUUAAGGCGGCAGAAGAAUUGCCAGUGUUAGUCAGUGCAGGUGCUGAAGAUGCCCUUGUCCCUCUCAA
rnacentral:misc_RNA from 1 species